rnacentral:rRNA from 1 species
UACGUAGGGGGCAAGCGUUGUCCGGAUUUAUUGGGCGUAAAGCGCGUGUAGGCGGCCAGGUAGGUCUGCUGUGAAAACUCGAGGCUCAACCUCGAGACGUCGGUUGAAACCGUAUGGCUAGAGUCCGGAAGAGGAGAGUGGAAUUCCCGGUGUAGCGGUGAAAUGCGCAGAUAUCGGGAAGAACACCCGUGGCGAAGGCGGCUCUCUGGGACGGUACUGACGCUGAGACGCGAAAGCGUGGGGAGCGAACAGG